GGAAAGAUGGGUGAGUGGCUGAAACCAACAGUUUGCUAAACUGUCGUACUGGAUUACGGUACCGGGGGUUCGAAUCCCCCUCUUUCCG
rnacentral:tRNA from 1 species